rnacentral:rRNA from 1 species
AGGAACCUGCCUCUCAGAGGGGGACAACAGUUGGAAACGACUGCUAAUACCGCAGUAAUAUAUCUGUAUCGCAUGGUAUGGAUAUCAAAGAUUUAUCGCUGAGAGAUGGCCUCGCGUCUGAUUAGCUAGUUGGUAGGGUAACGGCCUACCAAGGGCGACGAUCAGUAGCCGGACUGAGAGGUUGGCCGGCCACACUUGGGACUGAGAUACGGCCCAGACUCCUACGGAAGGCAGCAG